rnacentral:rRNA from 1 species
CAACCCCUCGAGAGUGGCGAACGGGUGAGUAAUGCAUCGGAACGUGCCCAGUCGUGGGGGAUAACGCAGCGAAAGCUGUGCUAAUACCGCAUACGAUCUAUGGAUGAAAGCGGGGGAUCGCAAGACCUCGCGCGAUUGGAGCGGCCGAUGUCAGAUUAGCUAGGUUGGUGGGGUAAAGGCCCACCAAGGCGACGAUCUGUAGCUGGUCUGAGAGGACGACCAGCCACACUGGGACUGAGACACGGUCCAGACUCCUACGGGAGGCAGCAGUGGGGAAUUUUGGACAAUGGACGCAAGUCUGAUCCAGCCAUUCCGCGUGCAGGACGAAGGCCUUCGGGUUGUAAACUGCUUUUGUACAGAACGAAAAGGUCUCUAUUAAUACUGGGGGCUCAUGACGGUACUGUAAGAAUAAGCACCGGCUAACUACGUG